UCAGGAUAGCUCAGCCUGGUUAGAGCAGAGGACUGAAAAUUCUCGUGUCGCCAGUUCAAAUCUGGUUUCUG
rnacentral:tRNA from 1 species